GUGUAGGAUAUAGGAUUUUGGUUUGUAUUGAAAAUCUGUAUAAUAUUUAAAUGAUCUAUUUUGAAUAUUGAUAUGUAUAUUUAAGAAAAUAAUAAUUUUCACGUUUCUUAAUUUAUUUAUAGUUCAUAAUAUAUUUAUAAUUAUAUUAAAUAUAAAGUUAGUAUAUCUUUUAAAUAUAUAUAAACUCAUUAUUUAUAGAUCCAUUUAGGUGCAUCGGUAGGCCCAAAAUCAAAAGACUUAAAUGUUAUUAAUGAAUUUUAUUAAUCAUUUGUAAAAAUAAGAGUAUUUUUGAAAAAACUACAAUUUUUAUUAAGGGUAUAAUUUGUGAAUGAUCCCCUUUUAAUGGUAUUGAUUUACAUCAUCAUCCACUUUGUCGGGUCCGUCUUCAUGCUCUGUCGGCACUGAAUCUUAUCAGGAUCAUGGAUAAAUGCCAUGUGAUCUGUAAACAUGGCUUCCUAACAGACAGAAACCCCACGUACGCUGUCUCCCAAAACUUGAUUCGGAUAAUACUGAAAUGAAUAUGCAAUUAUUAUGAUUGUUAUUUGGUUUUCCUCUAGUGUUGAAAAUAUAUAGUCAGCCAAAAGACAUGAAGCGCAUCUGGUGUAGUGGUAUCAUAGUACCCUCCCACGGUACUGACCAGGGUUCGAUUCCCUGGAUGCGCAUUUUUUUGUGUGCAAGUGUUCCGGUUUGGUUUGCAUAGGCUUUUUGGGUUUUGUUAACGAUUAGUAGUGGAAACUGGCUUAGAUGCAUUCAGAUUAUCCACCUCUUGGCCUAGGCUUAUUCCCAGUUAGUAUCUUCUUAAACUUAUGCUCCUCUAGCUCUUUCCAUUUUCUUUAACUGGAAGGAAUCCAUUAAGAUCAUGAGUUCUUGAUUGUCUCAUUAAUUGGAUGGAAGAGGUUCUGUUAACCCGAAAGGUCUAGAAUUCUACAAGAACUUCAUCCAUGAACUUGUAACCCACGGAAUUGAACCACAUAUAUGUUACACUGUACCACUACGAUCAUCCUCAGUCUCUCGAGGAUAAGUAUGGAGAGGUUGGCUCAACCACCGAAUUAUUUAGUGCCACUUUACUUUGCUUCUUUUACAGGAAACAAAAAAAAAAGAAGCACUAAUUGCUUUUUUUUGCCAAUAUUGCAGCAAAGACUUUACUGCUUACGCAGAUGUUUGCUUCAGAGAGUUUGGGAGCCACGUCAAAUUCUGGACCACGAUCAAUGAGGCUAAUAUAUUCAGUACUGGAGGCUACAACAAUAGGGUUACACCACUUGGUCGUUUGUUCGGCCUGCUUCUCAGGGAACUCUUCCACUGAACCAUAUAUGGCUUGCCCACGCCUCUGCUUCUAGACUAUGGUUUUGAAUGGUGACAUGAGUUACCAUUGAUUAAGUUUGAGUUAGGGGUGUAACUCAAAAAUGUUACUAUUCAUGAGUUACUUUUAUUUUUUUGAGUUACAAUGUAUUAUAUAUGAGUUGCAAUUUUGAGUUAA